rnacentral:rRNA from 1 species
CCUACGGGUGGCUGCAGUGGGGAAUAUUGCACAAUGGGGGAAACCCUGAUGCAGCAACGCCGCGUGAGUGAAGAAGUAUUUCGGUAUGUAAAGCUCUAUUAGUAGGGAAGAGAAUGACGGUACCUGACUAAUAAGCUCCGGCGAACUACGUGCCAGCAGCCGCGGCAAUACGUAGGCGGCGAGCGUUAUCCGGAUUUACUGGGUGUAAAGGGAGCGUAGACGGUUCUGCAAGUCUGAAGUGAAAGCCCGUGGCUUAACCGCGGAACGGCUUUGGAAACUGUGGAACUGGAGUGCAGGAGAGGCAGGCGGAAUUCCUGGUGUAGCGGUGAAAUGCGUAGAUAUUACGAAGAACACCAAUGGCGAAGGCAGCUUACUAAACAGUAACUGACAUUGAGGCUCGAAAGCGUGGGGAGCAAACAGGAUUAGAUACCCGAGUAGUC